rnacentral:rRNA from 1 species
AAUCAACGCUGGCGGCGUGCCUAACACAUGCAAGUCGAACGCGAAAAGGGCUUCGGCCCCUAGUAGAGUGGCGUACGGGUGAGUAACGCGUGGGUCAUCUGCCCUCGGGUGGGGAAUAACUAAUCGAAAGGUUAGCUAAUACCGCAUAACACAGUGAUGUCAAAGCAGCAAUGUGCCUGAGGAGGAGCCUGCGUCUGAUUAGGUAGUUGGUGGGGUAACGGCCUACCAAGCCUGCGAUCAGUAGCUGGUCUGAGAGGACGGCCAGCCACAAUGGCACUGAAAUACGGGCCAUACUCCUGCGGGAGGCAGCAGUGGGGAAUUUUGCGCAAUGGGCGAAAGCCUGACGCAGCAACGCCGCGUGAGGGAUGAAAUAUUUCGGUAUGUAAACCUCGCAAAUAUGGGAAGAACAAAAUGACGGUACCAUAUGUAAGCCACGGCUAACUUCGUGCCAGCCGCCGCCGUAAUAC